rnacentral:tRNA from 1 species
GCGCCUGUAGCUCAGGGGAUAGAGUGCCGGCCUCCGGAGCCGGUUGCACAGGUUCGAUUCCUGUCAGGCGCA